GACGAACGCUGGCGGCGUGCUUAACACAUGCAAGUCGAACGGUAAGGCUCCAGCUUGCUGGGGUACACGAGUGGCGAACGGGUGAGUAACACGUGGGUGACCUGCCCUGCACUUCGGGAUAAGCCUGGGAAACUGGGUCUAAUACCGGAUAGGACCGCACCGUGAGGGUGUGGUGGAAAGUUUUUUCGGUGUGGGAUGGGCCCGCGGCCUAUCAGCUUGUUGGUGGGGUAAUGGCCUACCAAGGCGGCGACGGGUAGCCGGCCUGAGAGGGUGGACGGCCACAUUGGGACUGAGACACGGCCCAGACUCCUACGGGAGGCAGCAGUGGGGAAUAUUGCACAAUGGGCGGAAGCCUGAUGCAGCGACGCCGCGUGGGGGAUGACGGCCUUCGGGUUGUAAACUCCUUUCACCAUCGACGAAGGGUUUCUGACGGUAGAUGGAGAAGAAGCACCGGCUAACUACGUGCCAGCAGCCGCGGUAAUACGUAUGGUGCGAGCGUUGUCCGGAAUUACUGGGCGUAAAGAGCUCGUAGGUGGUUUGUCGCGUCGUCUGUGAAAUUCCGGGGCUUAACUCCGGGCGUGCAGGCGAUACGGGCAUAACUUGAGUACUGUAGGGGAGACUGGAAUUCCUGGUGUAGCGGUGAAAUGCGCAGAUAUCAGGAGGAACACCGGUGGCGAAGGCGGGUCUCUGGGCAGUAACUGACGCUGAGGAGCGAAAGCAUGGGGAGCGAACAGGAUUAGAUACCCUGGUAGUCCAUGCCGUAAACGGUGGGCGCUAGGUGUGGGUUUCCUUCCACGGGAUCCGUGCCGUAGCUAACGCAUUAAGCGCCCCGCCUGGGGAGUACGGCCGCAAGGCUAAAACUCAAAGGAAUUGACGGGGGCCCGCACAAGCGGCGGAGCAUGUGGAUUAAUUCGAUGCAACGCGAAGAACCUUACCUGGGCUUGACAUAUACAGGAUCGCGCCAGAGAUGGUGUUUCCCUUGUGGCUUGUAUACAGGUGGUGCAUGGUUGUCGUCAGCUCGUGUCGUGAGAUGUUGGGUUAAGUCCCGCAACGAGCGCAACCCUUGUCUUAUGUUGCCAGCACGUUGUGGUGGGGACUCGUAAGAAACUGCCGGGGUUAACUCGGAGGAAGGUGGGGAUGACGUCAAAUCAUCAUGCCCCUUAUGUCCAGGGCUUCACACAUGCUACAAUGGUCGGUACAGUGGGUUGCCAGUCCGUGAGGGCGAGCUAAUCCCGCAAAGCCGGUCUCAGUUCGGAUCGGGGUCUGCAACUCGACCCCGUGAAGUCGGAGUCGCUAGUAAUCGCAGAUCAGCAACGCUGCGGUGAAUACGUUCCCGGGCCU
rnacentral:rRNA from 1 species